UUCACUGAUAUUUCAAUCAAUAAGAGCUUCCUUCUUUCGUUCUCCUCCUUGCCUUGUGCUUUGUGUUGUUUCAUCUCUUUACAAGCUUCAACCAUGAUGGGUCAUGAAUUCUAACAUGGUAUCAGAGCUCUUCAAUUGAAGAGCUCUGCUGCGCCUGGUUCACUCUGAUUCUUUAUCUUUUUUCUUCAUAUAUCUUUGUGUUUUCUUUCCCUUUCUUUUGGGUUCUUUCGUUUACUUUCAUCAUGGUUAAGGAAGAAAAAACACCUUUAACAAGUGAUAGUUACUUGUACUUACAUCCUGGAGAAAAUCCAGCAGUUUCUCUCAUGUCUUCUGUGUUAGAUUCAAAAAAUUAUCACUCUUAAGUGCAAAGAAUAAGUUGCAGUUCGUAAAUGGAUAUGUCACUGCACCAGAGAAAGAUGAUCUUUUACAUGACGUAUGGACAAGAUGUAACAACAUGGUCGUGUCUUGGUUGGUUCAUUAUGUUCCACCACAAAUACGGCAAACCAUAUUAUAGAUGGAGAAUGUUGUAGACAUAUGGAAUGAUUUAAAGGCCAGAUUCUUCUAAGCUACAAGAAGGUUUCAGAAUUGGUGGCACAAAGAAAACUAGAGGACCGUGUCAUGCAGUUCUUGAGAGGAAAGACAGCCGAUGAAUAAUGGAGCUAAUUUGGAAAACAAGAUUAUCGCUGCUGCCACCAAUGGUUCAUCAUCAACAUGUACUUUUUGUGGUAAAGGGGGGCACGUUGAGUCUGUUUGUUUCAAAAAGAAUGGGUUCCCAAGUAAUAAGGGAAACAAGUGUAUCUGCACUCAUUGUGGUAAAAGCGAUCAUACGGUUGAUACGUGUUACAAGAAACACGAUUUUCCACCCGGCCAUCGAUGCUAAUCUCAAAACUGAUGAAACCAAGAACGAAGAUGAUGGGCAAGAAAUCAAAUUUACAAAGCAGCAAUACCAAGCUUUGAUGGCUUUAAUCAAACCUGUUGAAGAGCUUGGAACAAUAAUGCAGAAACCAAGUCAUAUCAGCAGCAUAUCUACAAGUUCCAUCGAAUCAGGUAACAUCUUUUCAUAUAUUACCAUCAUAGAUGAUUUUAGUAGAUUUUCUUGGGUUUAUCUUAUGCAUAAUAAAUCUGAGACAAGGACGCACCUCACUAAUUUCAUUAAUCAUGUUGAGAAUCAAUUUGAAACCAAAGUAAAAAUUAGGUUAAAAUACCUUUUUGGUCCCAAUUUUCGUAAA